GGCUGGUUUUAAACAACAGGAGUUUAUUCUGUCAGUUGAGAAGGCUACAAGUGCAAAAUCAAGGAAUACACAUAGAAAGGAUGUCCCUAAAGCGCAUGCCACAGUUUGGCGUUUCCUCAGUAGAAUAAAAAUAGAACUACCCUAUGAUCCAGCAAUCCCAUUUCUGGGUAUGCAUCCAAAGAAAAUGAGAUGAAUAUUUUGAAGAGACAGCUGCAGUCCCAUGCUAAUUCUUUCAUUAAUCACAAUAGCCAACAUAAGGAGUCAACCUAAGUGUUCGAAACAGAUGAAUGGAUAAUGAAACUGAGGCAUAUCCACAUACAAAUUAUUCGGCCUUAAAAAAAAAGAAUUUCUGCCAUUUGUAACAACACUGAAGAACUUGGAGGACAUUAUGUGGAAUGAAACAAACCAGAUACACACAAAAAACACUGCAGGAUCUCACCUGUCCUAUCAUACAUAUCUAUAAGAAAUUGAAGCAUCCAAUUAUCCUUGGAAGGAAAAAAGAAAAACUUUAAAGAA
rnacentral:lncRNA from 1 species